AAUAGAUACCCCGGUAGUCCACGCCGUAAACGGUGGGCGCUAGGUGUGGGGGACUUUCCACGUCCUCUGUGCCGCAGCUAACGCAUUAAGCGCCCCGCCUGGGGAGUACGGCCGCAAGGCUAAAACUCAAAGGAAUUGACGGGGGCCCGCACAAGCGGCGGAGCAUGUGGCUUAAUUCGACGUAACGCGAAGAACCUUACCAAGGCUUGACAUGCAGGGAAAUCUCGUAGAGAUACGGGGUCCGCAAGGGCUCUGCACAGGUGGUGCAUGGUUGUCGUCAGCUCGUGUCGUGAGAUGUUGGGUUAAGUCCCGCAACGAGCGCAACCCUUGUCCUAUGUUGCCAGCGAGUAAUGUCGGGGACUCAUAGGAGACUGCCGGGGUCAACUCGGAGGAAGGUGGGGAUGACGUCAAGUCAUCAUGCCCCUUAUGUCCAGGGCUUCACACAUGCUACAAUGGCCGGUACAAAGGGCUGCGAUGCCGUGAGGUGGAGCGAAUCCUUUAAAGCCGGUCUCAGUUCGGAUCGGGGUCUGCAACUCCG
rnacentral:rRNA from 1 species